rfam:Bacillus galactosidilyticus strain PL133 scaffold000140, whole genome shotgun sequence.
UCAAGUGGAUGAAUAGCUAAGUUUGCGCCGUCCUGUUGCAACGCCUUUUCGACCAACGUCCUGCAGG